rnacentral:rRNA from 1 species
UACGAAGGGGGCUAGCGUUGUUCGGAAUUACUGGGCGUAAAGCGCACGUAGGCGGAUUGUUAAGUCAGAGGUGAAAUCCCGGAGCUCAACUUCGGAACUGCCUUUGAUACUGGCAAUCUAGAGUCCGGAAGAGGUUAGUGGAAUUCCCAGUGUAGAGAUGAAAUUCGUAGAUAUUGGGAAGAACACCAGUGGCGAAGGCGGCUAACUGGUCCGGUACUGACGCUGAGGUGCGAAAGCGUGGGGAGCAAACAGG